rnacentral:pre_miRNA from 1 species
ACGUGCUGCAUCAGGUGCUUGUGACUACGCGUUCGAAAGUCAGGUACCUGAAGUAGCGCGCGG